UACGUAGGGGGCGAGCGUUUGUCCGGAUUUAUUGGGCGUAAAGAGCGUGUAGGCGGCUUGGUAGGUCCGCUGUGAAACUCGGGGCUCAACCCCGAGAGGUCGGUGGAAACCAUCUGGCUAGAGUCCGGAAGAGGAGAGUGGAAUUCCCGGUGUAGCGGUGAAAUGCGCAGAUAUCAGGAAGAACACCCGUGGCGAAGGCGGCUCUCUGGGACGGUACUGGACGGCUGAGACGCGAAAGCGUGGGGAGCGAACAGG
rnacentral:rRNA from 1 species